rnacentral:rRNA from 1 species
UACGUAGGUGGCGAGCGUUGUCCGGAUUUACUGGGCGUAAAGGGAGCGUAGGCGGACUUUUAAGUGAGAUGUGAAAUACUCGGGCUCAACUUGAGUGCUGCAUUUCAAACUGGAAGUCUAGAGUGCAGGAGAGGAGAAUGGAAUUCCUAGUGUAGCGGUGAAAUGCGUAGAGAUUAGGAAGAACACCAGUGGCGAAGGCGAUUCUCUGGACUGUAACUGACGCUGAGGCUCGAAAGCGUGGGAAGCAAACAGG